AUACGGAGGAUGCAAGCGUUAUCCGGAUUCAUUGGGUUUAAAGGGUGCGCAGGCGGAUUGGUAAGUCAGGGGUGAAAUCCCACAGCUCAACUGUGGAACUGCCUUUGAUACUGUCAGUCUAGAGUAUAGUUGAAGUUGGCGGAAUGUGUCAUGUAGCGGUGAAAUGCUUAGAUAUGACACAGAACACCGAUCGCGAAGGCAGCUAGCUAAGCUAUAACUGACGCUCAUGCAACGAAAGCGGUGGGGAUAC
rnacentral:rRNA from 1 species